AAAAAAAAAUGCAAAUCACAACUCGAAUAUACUGACUACUACCAAUUCAGCUGACACAUCAUCGUAUCUAAAGUGGGUUUUGGUUUAAUUUCAAUUCUGUUUUUAUUGCAGAUCUUAAAUCAAGGAAUCGGGGAGGGUUGAUUCUUCGACAACUGCUUCCUCCAAUCAUGUUAGAGGCACCGAGUUAUCUGGUCUCAAGAGACUUACCAUUAGAGAGUCCAUCUGUAACUAGGCUUUAACAAAGAGGCACUUCUCAACUGCUUUGCUCACUGUUCCUUAUCUGACUUCCCCUCCAUCGCCUCGACGAACAGAGCCUUCCGCUCGCUUAUCAAGGACAAGGGUCUGUAUAGGCUGAGACGAGCAAACGGUAUCGUGGAGCAUGGGAAGCUUAUGAUCCAAACGGAGACCGUUGGCUACGUGUACCCAAAAUGACAUUCAACGAAUGCUUCAGCUGUUCGGAUAAAGAGUCUCUUGCCGUUGGUACAGAGCUUCUUUUGUUCGGUAAAGAAGUUAUGUCCCAUGUGAUUUACAAGUAUAGCGUCUUGACCCAUGCGUGGACGUCUAAUGAAUACUCCGAGGUGCUUGGUGAGGUCGCGGUUGUAGCUCGAGGGUGUGACCCGCGUGGGAAGAUAUUGAACUCAGCUGAGAUUUAUAGCUUGGAGAGUGGGGAGUGGACGGUGAUACCGAGCAUGAACAAGGCGAGGAAGAUGUGUUCAUGGACGGGAGCUUCUAUGUUGUUGGAGAGGGAAACUCGUAGAUGCUUAUGUGUGGUUAUGGGAUGUUGAGGAACUUGAGCGGAAAGUUAUUAACUUGUUUAUUAGGGUUCUUACAUGGUAUAUCCUUCAUUGUCUUUUGUGGGAUUGUUGUUGUUCAGGCAUAACCUGGUGGAACUGGACAAGUUUCAAUAAACUUGAAGAAGAUGUAAUAACAAAACUCACGUUUUCUAAUCUCAUAACAUUGUAAUUUGAUUCCAUUAUUAGCAUUUCUUUUUACACAGCA